rnacentral:rRNA from 1 species
UACGGGGGGUGCAAGCGUUGUUCGGAUUUACUGGGCGUAAAGGGCGCGUAGGCGGCCAGCUCAAGUCGGUUGUGAAAUCUCCGGGCUUAACCCGGAAAGGUCAGCCGAUACUGCGGGGCUAGAGUGCAGAAGGGGCAACUGGAAUUCUCGGUGUAGCGGUGAAAUGCGUAGAUAUCGAGAGGAACACCUGCGGCGAAGGCGGGUUGCUGGGCUGACACUGACGCUGAUGUGCGAAAGCUAGGGGAGCGAACGGG